GUUGACCUCGGAUCAGGUAGGGAUACCCGCUGAACUUAAGCAUAUCAAUAAGCGGAGGAAAAGAAACCAACAGGGAUUGCUCUAGUAACGGCGAGUGAAGCAGCAAUAGCUCAAAUUUGAAAUCUGGCGUCUUCGGCGUCCGAGUUGUAAUUUGUAGAGGAUGCUUCUGGGCAGCCACCGACCUAAGUUCCUUGGAACAGGACGUCAUAGAGGGUGAGAAU
rnacentral:rRNA from 1 species